rnacentral:lncRNA from 1 species
CCCGUACGUGGUCGUCGACAAGCGGGGACCCGACGGCGAAUUCCAGGUCCAGGAGGGGGUCGAACUCUCCCUGCUCAAGGCCAUCAGCCAGAGACUCAACUUCACGUACUCGCUGAACGUCGACAGCCCCGAAUACGGAGCUCUCAAGAACGGAACAUGGACAGGCCUUAUUGGUGAUGUAUUUUACAGGGAGAGUCACCUAGCGAUCAGUGAGAUCAGCUUCACCCGACAGCGCACGGAGGUGAUCUCGUACCUCUACCCGGUGGUGUACGACGUGCUCAGCUACGUGACGAAGGCGCCCAGGGUCAUUCCAUUCGCCAUGGCCAUCAUCAAGCCUUUC